GGAUGACGUCAAGUCAUCAUGGCCCUUACGACCAGGGCUACACACGUGCUACAAUGGCGCAUACAAAGAGAAGCGACCUCGCGAGAGCAAGCGGACCUCAUAAAGUGCGUCGUAGUCCGGAUUGGAGUCUGCAACUCGACUCCAUGAAGUCGGAAUCGCUAGUAAUCGUGGAUCAGAAUGCCACGGUGAAUACGUUCCCGGGCCUUGUACACACCGCCCGUCACACCAUGGGAGUGGGUUGCAAAAGAAGUAGGUAGCUUAACCUUCGGGAGGGCGCUUACCACUUUGUGAUUCAUGACUGGGGUGAAGUCGUAACAAGGUAACCGUAGGGGAACCUGCGGUUGGA
rnacentral:rRNA from 1 species